UACGAAGGGGGCUAGCGUUGCUCGGAAUUACUGGGCGUAAAGCGCACGUAGGCGGAUUGUUAAGUCGGGGGUGAAAUCCUGGAGCUCAACUCCAGAACUGCCUUUGAUACUGAAGAUCUUGAGUUCGGGAGAGGUGAGUGGAACUGCGAGUGUGGAGGUGAAAUUCGUAGAUAUUCGCAAGAACACCAGUGGCGAAGGCGGCUCACUGGCCCGAUACUGACGCUGAGGCACGAAAGCGUGGGGAGCAAACAGG
rnacentral:rRNA from 1 species